CGGAGGGAUCAUUGCUGGAACGCGCCUCGGCGCACCCAGAAACCCUUUGUGAACUUAUACCUUACUGUUGCCUCGGCGCAGGCCGGCCCCCCUCGGGGGGCCCCUCGUUCCUGACGAGGAGCAGGCUCGCCGGCGGCCAAGUUAACUCUUGUUUUUAUUGUGAAACUCUGAGAAUAAAACAUAAAUGAAUCAAAACUUUCAACAACGGAUCUCUUGGUUCUGGCAUCGAUGAAGAACGCAGCGAAAUGCGAUAAGUAAUGUGAAUUGCAGAAUUCAGUGAAUCAUCGAAUCUUUGAACGCACAUUGCGCCCUCUGGUAUUCCGGAGGGCAUGCCUGUUCGAGCGUCAUUUCAACCCUCAAGCCUGGCUUGGUGAUGGGGCACUGCCUUUGUGUAAAAGCGAAGGCAGGCCCUGAAAUUCAGUGGCGAGCUCGCCAGGACUCCGAGCGCAGUAGUUAAACCCUCGCUUUGGAAGGACUGGCGGUGCCCUGCCGUUAAACCCCCAACUUUUGAAAAUUUGACCUCGGAUCAGGUAGGAAUACCCGCUGAACUUAAGCAUA
rnacentral:rRNA from 1 species